AACGAACGCUGGCGGCGUGGAUAAGACAUGCAAGUCGAACGGGACAUUUUUAGUAGUAAUAUUAGAGAUGUUCAGUGGCGAACGGGUGCGUAACACGUGGAUACAUUCCGGAAAGCGGGGGAUAGCCCAGGGAAACUUGGAUUAAUACCGCAUGUGGUCGCAAGACUAAAGACGGGGAUCGAAAGACCUGUCACUUUCCGAUUGGUCCGCGGCCUAUCAGCUAGUUGGCGGGGUAAAAGCCCACCAAGGCGACGACGGGUAGCUGGUCUUAGAGGACGACCAGCCACACUGGAACUGAGACACGGCCCAGACACCUACGGGUGGCAGCAGUCGAGAAUCUUUCACAAUGGGGGCAACCCUGAUGGAGCGACGCCGCGUGGAGGAUAAGGUCUUCGGAUUGUAAACUCCUGUCAUGCGAGAACAAGGUUGCAAGGCUAAUACCCGUGCAAAUUGAUGGUACCGCAAGAGGAAGAGACGGCUAACUCUGUGCCAGCCGCCGCAGUAACAC
rnacentral:rRNA from 1 species